rnacentral:lncRNA from 1 species
UCCAAGCCAGUGGUCCAACAAAGCUAGUAUGCCCAAGUAGUAUCUUUGAGGAAGUGUAAGCAGCGUUAGUUUUAUCCAAAGACCAGAACCUGAUGGUUCGGUCUCUUGAUGAAGUUGCUAUUCCAUCAUUCUCACAAACACAUAUACCACGAACGUCAUCUUCAUGACCUCGAAGCUGGCAGCGCAAUCGGUACUCAACGAAGUCGAUGUCCAUAGCCAUGGCAGAUGAGAUAGAUAUAGAGAGAGAAUGUGUUAGGGUUUGUGGAUGGAUGAAGCAAUCGGAUUAACCGUUGUCUCCGGUGAGAUGGGCCGUUUAUAGGUUUGUAAGUUCUAAGAUCGCUUGUUCCCCAAGUUGUGCUUCUUGUGUGAUAUGUAACAGAGCACAAUCUAAGAUGGGUUCUUCUUCAAUUUUCUUAAAUUUUGUUUUUUGAUAUUGGGGUCAGUCAAUUGUUCUUAAAGUUAUGUUCUUUGUGAAGAAUAAAUACGAUUUGAGAUGGGUAUUUGCAUAAAGAUGGAAGCUUUGAGGUUUUUAUCUUGCUCAGUUUUUAAGGUUUAA